AAGUCGUAACAAGGUUUUCGUAGGUGAACCUGCGGAAGGAUCAUUAAAUUAAUAUUUUUUAAUCUAAUAAAAAAACUUUUUUUUUGAUUUGUUUUGUUUAUUAAUAUAUCACUUAGGGGAACAACUUUUUUCUCACUCUCUAAAUCCAACUCUGUUGAUUGGGGUUGAAAAAUAGGCUUAAACCCUAAGUUUUUUUUUUUUUUUUUUUUAAACAAACAAUUCCCAAUCUUUUUAUUUUUUUUGGGGGCCACCUUUAACCAUUUAUUUAAAACAUUUUAGUGCUUAUAAACACAUUCUAAAUUUAAUUUUUUAGUCUUAACUAUAAAAUAACUUUCAACAACGGAUCUCUAGGCUCUU
rnacentral:misc_RNA from 1 species